CCCCCUUUUGAGGACGCGCCCAAUACUCUCCUCCCGGGAAACAACAGGAGGAGGGGGGGGAACAUAAAAUAAUCAUGCCCCUUAUGUUGGGGGAAACUCAGCCCUCAAUGGCCGUCCAAAGGGAUGCAAGAUCGAGAGGUGGAGCAAAUCUCAAAAAAGCUGUUCUCAGUUCGGAUUGUAGUCUGCAACUCGCCUACAUGAAGCGGAAUUACUAGUAAUCGGGAAUCAGAAUGUUGCGGUGAAUGCGUUCCGGGGUCUUGAACACACCGCCCGUCACACCAUGAGAGUUGGUACCACCCGAAGAAGGUGAGCAGGGAACCAGAUUCACUCAGUGAGUAGCUAU
rnacentral:rRNA from 1 species